CGAUGUAAACGGCCUGUGUCAGCAGGCAGCGCCGCAAGAAAGCACGAAAGCUUUACGGAAUUAUUACCGCACACGGCCGACACUCGAACUAUAAACUGAUAAUUGGUUACUUAUAUAAAUCCAAUACGUGGCUAUAUUAUUGUAUUAAACACUCAAUACCUCUCAAAUGUAUUUAUAUUCGCAGUGUCGAUUCAUCAUUCAUAUUAAAUCUC